AUUAACUGCAUGGGGUGUAAAGUGCAGCCUGGGGCAUUAAUCAAGUCCUUUUUUUCCUCUAUAGGGUGAAGAACUGGACAUGUAGCUCUCAAAGCUGUAAACAGGAAGCUCUCUCCACGUGUUUUUGCAAUUAUUGAGCAGAACAAAUGCAACUGAUUGCACUGAGGAUUCCUGGGUAUGUGCUUAACCCUUGAGAGCCACUUUCUACAUUGCUAGGGUUACACUUUGUAUGAAGUAUUUUAUUUCUGACUGCUCUUAUAAUAAGCGAUUUCUCUUAAUGUUAUCAUUUGUUAUUGGAGGGUGGUGAGCUGCAAAUGUAAAGAUACAAAAAUAAUAAUUUUAACACAUUGUGUACAGCAUGUGAUAAUGAUUCUGUACAAGAUUGGGAUUCUAGUUGAACCUUUAGUUUAAUUCUUGUAUGCUUAAUAUUGUACUAAGAGUAUUUAUCCCCCCCAUGAUUUAUUACCCUUCCAGUCUAUAUCUUGACACCAUUUCCAGCAGUUAAAAGGAACAGAUCAAUAAUUAUUCACUGUGUCCCAGGAGGACACAUUAUACUGCUGGCCAGAUGGCUGAGCCAGACCCAGCUGCCUGAGUGUAUUGUGAAAGAGGAAGCUGCAUAUCCGGGUCCGUUUCAAUGUGAAAUCCUAUUCUUAGGCAAAGGAAACCACAAGUGGGGUUAAUCACCGCACUCCACUUCCUGUUUCAUUUCCCAAAGACAGAUCCAUGAGUGGCUGCUUCCUAAAUAUCAGCUAUAGGCAACACUGACUGCCUGAGGAAUGCACCAAAAUAGCCAGCAGGAAAAAUAUAUACAGACAAUAAUAACAUGCCACACAGUAUGGGUCAUUGUCACCUGUCUGUAGCAUAUUAGCUUUACAAACUAAGCAAAUAAACAAAGGAAGGACUUAUUUACACUAGCAUAAAUUGUGUGUGUGUGUGUGUGUGUAUAUAUAUAUAUAUAUAUAUAUAUAUAUGAGGUGCAUUUACCAAGCAGUAUGUUGUGACUUGAUUAUUUAGUAAACUAUUUACUAAACUUUUUGUCCCUGAUUAUUUACUAAUACAAAUGGGUAUAAGGAUUUUUUAUCCCUAACAGUGAAUUGCAGUGAAAUGGAAACCACAACAACAAAGCUGUGUUCAGAAUAAUCAAUUUGUGAAUAUAGUUGAGUGUGAGACUAUUUUGCAACUUGGUUAGUUCAGUCCUUAUUUUGCAUAUUUUUUCUUCACUUUUUUAUUUUAUUACAAUUCAAGGUUUAAUGAAUAACCGUCUGAUCUGUUUUUCUAUCCAUUGUGUUUUUUUUCAUUUCCUCGCAUUUCAUCCCCACUGCUUUGCCCAAGUCGCCUUCCCAUCUCUCACAUUAAUUGCUGCAUUUGCUGGCAUGGUGGGGUCACUUAUCUCUAGUGUUUCCGCCUUUGGCAGCACAGCUCCUCCCUUUACAAUAAACAAGUUUCACAAAGAUGGCAAUAUCGACAGCUGUUGUUAUUGUAGUCAUUCAGUGCCUAGAAUAGAAUUUAUAACACUGAGAACUAGAAUGUUCUACAGCUAAUACCUCAAUUAAAGUCAAAUUUGAAAGUGCAUUUGUAUUACUUAGCAGAGCUGGGAGAGAACAGGGAUACAAAAGUAUCUUUCUUUCGGGGCCAUCACCUGUGCUAGUCUGAGGUCAUCCUGUGAGCUGACUAACUGUCCCAGGACCAGAGGGUACAGGAGGAACACUGAAGGCAUGCAGUGAAAGCUAUCCCUGUGCUCAUCAUGUCUUCAUUUCAUUAUUGAAAAGAUUCAGGUUUACAUGUAUAAGUUCAUGUAUGAAGAAGUGCUGUAACUUAUAUGUAUCAUCGCAGUUCUGGAGUAUUUUUAUAUCCUGGUUUAUGUAUAGCUCACUCUAAAACCUGAGGAAAUUAUGUGAUCAGCUCAACAAGUACUAGCAGUGUGUUAAAAUAAUAGGAUGAAGGUUCUCAACAGAAAUAAGGCCACGUAGAAAGACCAUGCUCUGCUCUGCCUUUACCAGGUUUAAUUCCAUCCUUUCAAGUAUCAGAUGUCUCCAGCCAUGCACUCUUAAUGCCAGCUUAUUUUACCAGGUGCUCUUAAUAGCGCCAACUCCUAAGCAAAUACUUAUGUAAUUACCCCAUUCAGUACACUCACUUUCUAAAAAUAAAUACCAGUACCUUAAUGUUAUGCAAAAUGAUAUGUAAAAGGUACUUUAGGCAUGAGACGUGCAGAUAGUAUGUGAAUCAAAUCAGGAAAAUAUGCUAACUAAUCCUUUGAAUUUAUUUUAAUAUAUAUUUAUAUAGACUUAUUAUUCAUUUAAAGACUGAAUAAUUUAAGGAAAACCCAUUUCGGCCAUCCACUACUCCUGGAAUGCAAUACAUAACUAUGUUUGGGGUACUGAUUCCCACACCAGCAGCACAGUAUGUGACUAGUAAGCUACAUACAGUAAAUAUGGUUGCUUGAAUGAAACCAGGCAUCUAUAUUUGAAAGUGAGAAGCAUUAUUUUAGCUCUAUGCCCCUUUUCAACCAUUAGCAAUGUUGGGGUACCUUCUAGAUUCAAUGCUAAAUUCACAUCGCAAGAUAAUGCAUUGAGGAGGUUUUAAUAACUUUGGUUACUAAUGUGUGCAUAUGCACCAGGUUCUCUUGGCUGAACUAUUGUAAAAUACACUGUAGGUUUUAUUAUAUUCCACACCAUUAAAUACUGCCCUAACAGCUGCUUCUGUAUGAUCUUUGCUUUGCUCUGAAGGCAUCACUAUGAAGAGGGCAUCAGGGACCAAAAUAGAUUGUGUAAUCUGCAGGGCAGUAGCUCACAAAGUAUAAAAUGUUCCAUACUGUGUUAGUGAUUCCCCCCUAUGACUAAUACAAUAGUAACAUUUUCCUAGCCCUAAUAUAAUAUUUAUAGAUCAUCAAGUUAGCAUGCCAACAUGAAUUAUGUUGGCAUCUAGCACACUAAACAUAAACACAGUAGUAGCACGUCCACUAGGUGGUGUAAUUUAUCAUUGUCGGGCUUGCUAGGAUUCAAGCACAGAAUGUAUACAAGCUAGGUGAAGUUAUUAUAGCGUUAGACAUGGUACUGGCUACUUCUGGCCCUGCAGGUGUUGUGAUCCACAACUCCCAAAAGUCUAAUAAGCAAGCUGAGCAAUGUAGUAGCUGUACCAUAGAGUGUCUGGAACAAUGGAAGAAAAAAAACCCGGGUUAUAAAUAAAUUUCUAUUUUUUUUUUCCAGUUAUUAAAUGAAUAUUCCAAGACAUCAUAAUGACUACGGUCCACUUUGACAACUUACCGGUGCCCACUGCCAUCUCCUCGGGAACCAAGUUGCAGAUUCUUGUUUGUUUUUUUGUUAGUUUUUUUUUUUUUUUUACUUUUACAAGAAAAUAACCAAACCGAUAAAGUAGUUAAAAACCUGCAUAUAUGAACAUUAGCCCUGUUAGUGCCUCAUACUCAGGAUAUGCCUCAUAGAUUAUUUCAGCGCUAGUACAUGGUACUAAUUAUACAAUACUUAUGUAAGGUGAAUUGCACAGUUUAGGUAUACAAGACAAGGAGUCAGUGAAUGUAUGAACCAAAUCCUAUUUCCGUGCCCAGAAUCUAAACUGACUUACACCUUGUGAAUAUUGCAUAGUUUAUAUCCCAUUCAUUGAAAUGUUUGCUCACGACACUGUAAUGCUUAACACCUGAUACGUUGUUUACUCCUUUUUAUAUUUUUUUUGUAAUCCAAUCCAAACUUGAAAAAUCUAAUAAAUAAAGAUUGUAAAAAAAAACCCUGCACAUAUUUUAAGACCCCUGGGUAAAAACAGAGGGG
rnacentral:lncRNA from 1 species